GAUUCCUCCUCUUCGUUUGCUUACUCACUUAUUCAGUCAUUUAUUCACUCGUGUACUUAACCACGCAUGCACUUAUUAAUCAGUUAAAUAUUCAUUUGAUCACUCAUUCAUUUACUCAUUCAACCAGCAUCUGCUCAGUGGUUGCUGGGUGCCCAGCCCGACACCGAGCUGCGUUGGGGGUAGAGUCGUGACGAUAAAACCUUGACUCUGGCCUCGUGGUUCUCCCAGCCCAGUGAAGGAGACAAACAUUAAACCACCACUAAUUACACAUUUAAUUAACCACUACAAAAGUGAUAACUACUGGGAAAGCAGGUACAAAACCUAUGAGGACAUCUUAUAAGGAAAACUGAGUUCAGGUAGGGUGUCAGCAACACUUGAGCUUGCACCUGAAGGAUGAGCGUGGAUAAGCCAGCAGAAGGGGAGAAUAUUCCAGGCGAAGAAUCAGUCUGGCCCAAUAACAGCGAUGAGGAUGGUGAUAACUGCACCUUUACUCUGUGCUCAGCGCUACCAGGAGGAGGCACAGCCUGUGUGUAUUGGAAGUUCUCCUGACUGUCUAGAGUCCCUCCAUCCUGCUGUAGGCUGAUUCACCGGUAGGAUUUCCUGUGUGUGUGUGUGUGUGUGUGUGUGUAGUCCCACAGCAAUCUAACCUCACUCCUUCAUGCUGAAAGGAAGAAAGGGAGGCAGGUAAUGGGUUUCAGGAGUAAACAGAACCUGAAGCUUGAUGGAUGCAUUUUUAAGAGCUUUUUAUUGGCGACAGUGCAGAACCACGAGGGGGAGGGUAGCAGCCCAGUGCCAGCCAGCCCCAGCACCCCCCGGGCGUCAGGUGCAAAA